CCAGGACCUCUACACCAGGCGGUGUCAGAGGAAGGCCCUGAAAAUUGUCAAAGACCCCAGCCACCCCAGUCAUAGACUGUUCUCUCUACUACCGCAUGGCAAGCGGUACCGGAGUGCCAAGUCUAGGACAAAAAGGCUUCUCAACAGUUUUUACCCCCAAGCCAUAAGACUCCUGAACAGGACCAUGACCCAACACACCUCCAGGCUGUGUAAGGGCUAUUUUACCAAGAAGGAGUGUGAUGCAGUGCUGCAUUCGAUUACCUGGUUUGGGAUGAAUUGGACAGCAGAGUGAAGGAAAAGCAGCCAACAAGUGCUCAGCAUACAUGGG
rnacentral:lncRNA from 1 species